CUGCAUCUCUCACACUGAACCUGUAAUACAAAGUGAUUAUUAUUAAUAUUUGAUCUUUAUCAUUUCAGGUGUGUGUCUUUUCUAUCAGUCCAGAAUGUUAUGUAUUAAUUUUGUUAUUCCACAUGCAUGUAAAACUUAUUUACACAUUAUUUCUUCAGUAGCUGUCAUAAAUCCUUACCCGUUGUUGUACCCUUUCUUUGGUGCCAUGUGUUCUCUUUUCACAUCUUGUAGUGGCCUCCAUACGUGUUGGCAUUGAGCAGCCUCUACAGAUAUCUGCCAUUGCAGCUUCCAUCUCUUCUGAAGAGUGUCCUUGAGUAGACCCAUUUUACAUCUGCUCCUGAGUAUUCUCUGCCAAGUUGACAAAACUGCCUCUUUACUCUGAUGUGAUGUAUCUUCACCCAUUGGGUUUAUAUAUACAAUCUCAUAAUUUUUGGGUAUACCACAAACAUUUGCCAGUGCUUUCCUGUCACAUAUGGUGCCAGUAUCAUCUCUUUCGAAAGAAGAUCCACCUGUUCCAGAAAUAAAUUCAGUCUUUCAAACAA